rnacentral:rRNA from 1 species
GUUGAACGCUGGCGGCAGGCCUAACACAUGCAAGUCGAGCGGAUGAAGGGAGCUUGCUCCUGGAUUCAGCGGCGGACGGGUGAGUAAUGCCUAGGAAUCUGCCUGGUAGUGGGGGAUAACGUCCGGAAACGGGCGCUAAUACCGCAUACGUCCUGAGGGAGAAAGUGGGGGAUCUUCGGACCUCACGCUAUCAGAUGAGCCUAGGUCGGAUUAGCUAGGUGGUGGGGUAAAGGCCUACCAAGGCGACGAUCCGUAACUGGUCUGAGAGGAUGAUCAGUCACACUGGAACUGAGACACGGUCCAGACUCCUACGGGAGGCAGCAGUGGGGAAUAUUGGACAAUGGGCGAAAGCCUGAUCCAGCCAUGCCGCGUGUGUGAAGAAGGUCUUCGGAUUGUAAAGCACUUUAAGUUGGGAGGAAGGGCAGUAAGUUAAUACCUUGCUGUUUUGACGUUACCAACAGAAUAAGCACCGGCUAACUUCGUG